rnacentral:rRNA from 1 species
AUUGAACGCUGGCGGCAUGCUUUACACAUGCAAGUCGAACGGCAGCGCGGGCUUCUUCCUGGCGUCGAGUUGCGAACGGGUGAGUAAUGCAUCGGAACGUGCCCUGCAGAUGGGGAUAGCCCGGCUAAAGGCGGAUUAAUAUCGUAUACGACCUUAUGGUGAAACGGGGGGUCCAAAAGUCCAAGCCCGUUUUGCUGGCCCGUAGACGGAUUAGCGAGUUGGUGGGGUAAGGGCUUACCAAGGCGACGAUCCGUAGCAGGUCUGAGAGGCCGACCAGCCACACUGGGACUGAGACACGGCCCAGACUCCUACGGGAGGCAGCAGUGGGGAAUUUUGGACAAUGGGGGCAAGCCUGAUCCAGCCAUGCCGCGUGCGGGAAGAAGGCCUUCGGGUUGUAAAACGCUUUUGUUCGGGAAGAAAACCUCUGGGCUAAUACCCCGGGGGGAUGACGGUACCGGAAGAAUAAGCACCGGCUAACUACGUG